GGGGGCCGGGUGGGCCGUGCUGUGUGGGGAGGGAUGUGAGCUGCGCUGGGCGGCUUCGCCGGAGUCAGGACGGCCGCUAUAGCGAAGCAGCUUGGCGUCUUGAAGGACCUCCUGCUCACCAGGAGCCCCAUGCUGACGGAGGAGGCUGUCGGUCCUUCCACCUCAGCAGAACAUAUCUUCUGAAGAUAUUUGAACAUGGUAGCCAAGAAGGCUGAACAGUCUUUGAAGAAACAGCGGACCAUGCAGCUGAAGGGGUGAACUGAAUCCUUGCACAUCCUUCAGCUGAAAAAGCCCACCCUUCUGAAGAGUUUGGUUCAGGCUUUGUACAUCAAACAGACUUCAGUGAAGUUAUUCGUGCCUCACACAAGUGGUAAGAGGAAAGAGAAGAAAGUUAUUCAUAUUUAAUGCUAUUUUGUGCCAGAUGUUUUGCUGGUAGAAAUCCAUAGCUCCACAGGCACCAAUUUCUUCAGGAUCUGGAAUGUCUGGCCCAAUUUCUUUCUCAUUCUGGAUGGUCUGUGAAAGAAACCACUUUAUUUUGCAAUAUUGAAUAUUCUUGCUGGGAAGUUAUAAGCAAAAACAAAAUAAUGAGAGACAGGGUCUCUAAUAAGCUUCCUGUCACAUGAGGCUCUGGUUCUAUUGAAGCAUAUGUGUUUGCUGACUUGCUUCCAAAAGGUUUGUUGAGUGGUGGUGAUUAGUUUCUGUUGUACUGAUGUUAUCUCUCUGUAGUCUCAUUCAAUACAAGUAGUUCUGUAAACAGUGAAGUCUUUUUUUCCUAUGGAUUUGUAUCUUGGAUUGUGUUUCAGCAUGGAUUCUCUGAUGUUUAAUGGGGAUGGAGUUCAUGUUUAGCCAAUUUCUUCAAUGAGGGAUGAAUAAUCUGUCUUUUUGGCCAUCUAUUUUCACAAAAUUUGCUGGAAUUAAAUAUCUUCAACGCCCUCUAUCAAAGUUGACUGGGAUUUAUGAACAAGUUUUGGAGUUAUUUGGGGCUGUCCAAUGUAGAUAAGAGUCUCAUUUUCUUACAAAAACAGAAUGUAAAAAUGCAUUCUUAAAGUAUUUUGUCCUUGUAUACUACCUGCUUGAUUCUAUUCUACUUGUGACCAGUCACAUAGGAUAUGUUUUAUUUGUAAAGCUGUAUGAAAGUAUGAUGCGUUUUUUUGCCCUGUUGAGUGCAUAUUAAAGCAUCCUUAGUUUAUUUUUGUUA